rnacentral:rRNA from 1 species
UACGUAGGGGGCAAGCGUUGUUCGGAUUCAUUGGGCGUAAAGCGCGCGUAGGCGGCCCUGUAAGUCCGCUGUAAAAGUCAAAGGCUCAACCUUUGAAAGCCGGUGGAUACUGCAGGGCUAGAGUCCGGAAGAGGCGAGUGGAAUUCCUGGUGUAGCGGUGAAAUGCGUAGAUAUCAGGAGGAACACCGGCGGUGUAGACGGCUUUCUGGACCAUUACUGACGCUGAGAUACGAAAGCGUGGGUAGCAAACAGG